rnacentral:rRNA from 1 species
AAUAUUGGUCAAUGGGGGAAACCCUGAACCAGCAAUGCCGCGUGGGUGACGAAGGUCUUCGGAUCGUAAAGCUCUGUCAUCGGGGACGAAGAAGUGACGGUACCCGAGGAGGAAGUCCCGGCUAACUACGUUCCAGCAGCCGCGGUAAUACGUAGGGGGCGAGAGUUGUCCGGAAUUACUGGGCGUAAAGGGUGCGUAGGCGGCCAAUUAAGUCAGAUGUGAAAUACCACGGCUUAACCGUGGGGGUGCAUUUGAAACUGUUUGGCUUGAGUGCAGGAGAGGAAAGCGGAAUUCCUAGUGUAGCGGUGAAAUGCGUAGAGAUUAGGAGGAACACCAGUGGCGAAGGCGGCUUUCUGGACUGUAACUGACGCUGAGGCACGAAAGCGUGGGUAGCGAACA